GCCCAGACUCCUACGGGAGGCAGCAGUGGGGGAUAUUGCACAAUGGGGGGAACCCUGAUGCAGCGACGCCGCGUGGGUGAAGAAGCGCCUCGGCGCGUAAAGCCCUGUCAGCAGGGAAGAAAAUGACGGUACCUGAAGAAGAAGCCCCGGCUAACUACGUGCCAGCAGCCGCGGUAAUACGUAGGGGGCAAGCGUUAUCCGGAUUUACUGGGUGUAAAGGGAGCGUAGACGGUAAUGCAAGUCUGGAGUGAAAGGCGGGGGCCCAACCCCCGGACUGCUCUGGAAACUGUGUAACUGGAGUGCAGGAGAGGCAGGCAGAAUUCCUAGUGUAGCGGUGAAA
rnacentral:rRNA from 1 species